rnacentral:rRNA from 1 species
GUUGAUCCUGCCAGUAGUCAUAUGCUUGACUCAAAGAUUAAGCCAUGCAUGUGCAAGUGCAAACCUCGACACGGUGAGACCGCGAAUGGCUCAUUAGAUCAGUCAUUGUUCCUUAGACGGAAGGUGCUACUUGGAUAACUGUGGCAAUUCUAGAGCUAAUACAUGCGAGCAAGCUCCGACCCUCGCCGGGGACGAGCGCAAUUAUUAGACCAAGACCAACCGGAUCGCAAGGUCCGUACGGCUGGUGACUCUGGAUAAACUCGAGCUGACCGCACACGGCCUAUGAGCCGGCGGCGCAUCUUUCAGGUGUCUGCCCUAUCAACUUUCGAUGGUAUGCGCCCUGCUUACCUAUGGUGGUUACGGGUAACGUCGGCGCUACACUCAGUAGGCUGCUACAUGGUGGUACGGUAACGGGAAUCAGGUUCGAUUCCGGAGAGGGAGCAUGAGAAACGGCUACCACAUCCAAGGACGGCAGCAGGCGCGCAAAUUACCCACUCCUGGCACAGGGAGGUAGUGACGAGCUAUAACGACCCGAGACUCUUUCGAGGCCUCGGGAUCGGAAUGAGUACAGUGUAAACACUUUUGCAAGGAACAAUUGGAGGGCAAGUCUGGUGCCAGCAGCCGCGGUAAUUCCAGCUCCAAUAGCGUAUAUUAAAGCUGUUGCAGUUAAAAAGCUCGUAGCUGGAUCUCGGGUGCAGGCGGGCGGUCUCGCCUCGCGGUGAGCCACUGCUCGUCUCCUGCACCCAACUGAUGGUAUUCUCGGGGUGCUCUUGGUUGAGUGUCCCGAGUGGCCGUUGCGUUUACUUUGAAAAAAUUAGAGUGCUCAAGGCAGGCUCCCUCACGCCUGGAUACUAUAGCAUGGAAUAAUGAAAUAGGACCUCGGCCCUAUUCUGUUGGUUUCUCUGGGGCUCGAGGUAAUGAUUAAGAGGGACGGACGGAGGCAUUCGUAUCCGCGGGGCGAGAGGUGAAAUGCUUGGGACCCUCGCAAGACGGGCGACAGCGAAAAGCAUUUGCCGAGAACGUUUGGCAUUAGUCAAGAACGAAAGUCAGAGGUUCGAAGACGAUCAGAUACCGUGCUAGUUCUGACCAUAAACGAUGCCAACUAGCGAUGCGAGGGCGUUGGUAUCUGACCCUUCGCGCAGCUCCCGGAAAACCAAAGUCUUUGGGUUCCGGGGGAAGUAUGGUUGCAAAGCUGAAACUUAAAGGAAUUGACGGAAGGGCACCACCAGGAGUGGAGCCUGCGGCUUAAUUUGACUCAACACGGGAAAACUCACCCGGCCCGGACACCGUAAGGAUUGACAGAUUGAGAGCUCUUUCUUGAUUCGGUGGGUGGUGGUGCAUGGCCGUUCUUAGUUGGUGGAGUGAUUUGUCUGGUUAAUUCCGAUGAACGAACGAGACUCUAGCCUGCUAAAUACGUUCGCCGAUUCCCCAAUGGGUCGGGCGCGUUAACUUCCUUAAGAAGGGGACAAAGUGGGCUUUUCAGGCCACGCGAGAUUGAGCAAUAACAGGUCUGUGAUGCCCUUAGAUGUUCGGGGCCGCACGCGCGCUACACUGAAGGAAUCAGCGUGUGCUUUGCCCUGGUCCGAGAGGAUCGGGUAAUCCGCUGAACCUCCUUCGUGGUAGGGACUGGGGCUUGCAAUUGUUCCCCAUGAACCAGGAAUUCCGAGUAAGCGCAGGUCAUAAGCCUGCGUUGAUUACGUCCCUGCCCUUUGUACACACCGCCCGUCGCUACUACCGAUUGAGCGGUUCAGUGAGACCCUCGGACUUGCCCAGUGCCUCUUGGGCUGGCAACGGCUCAUGGUUCUGCGUGCGGGGAAG